GUUUUCAUGAGUAGAAGGGCCAUAGAAGAGAGAGAGAAAGUGGAAAAAAAAGGCCAUGGGCUUUAUUCUCGCCGGCAAUUGCGAGCCUUAACCUCGACUUUUCCUUUCGCUCGGCGUUAUCUCAAUUUUGCAGGUCCAGUUUUGAAGGUCGCUAAUGGGAUCUGUUCUAGCGACGUCUGGUGGUGCUCGUUGGGUGCUGGUUGGUGACUUUUCGGUACCAGUAUCUGAUGAGAUACCAUUGGUGGCUCCAUGACUAUAACAGACUGAAUGCGCCAUGGGCCUACCGUCUCUCUUCAGGUCGCGGACGGUGAAUUCUUGAAGUCUCUAGUUGAAUAUCGGUGGUAGCUAGUUCUGAUAGCUCUUUCGUGCGAUUUGUGCAUGUCAAUCUUAGCUGGUAUGCUUUCUCGUUUCUCCAUCUAUUCUUCUGGAUUUUGGUUGAUUUCUUUAAUCGUUGGUUUGCAUGUUGGCGAUUGGGCGAUUUGGCGAUAGCUUUCGGUUAUCGCGUGGGUCUCUGAGUUGUCGGUUGAUCUGCUUCCCAUUGCCGACUAGAUGUAUGACUGGCGGUGUUUGUCGGUUGGGCGGUGUCGAUCGAUCAGCGAACUAAAUAUCAAGACUGUCCAGAAUUUUCAGUUGGAUUUGGGCUGUGAUUUUGGGUUGGACUUUUGAUUCAUUAUGUUAUGGGCUGGGUUAAGUGUGUGUAAACUUGGGUUCUGUCUUUGAGUUGUCUUAUGCACUUAUCUGCUGGGCUUUAAAUGUAAUUAUCUACUUGCAUGUUAAAAAAAAAAAAAAAAGACAUGACCACGGUUUGGUUCAGACCGGAAAUCAAACUAAAAUCAAAUCGAUCAAAUUUAAAAUCAAAAUGAUUA